GAACCUUACCUGGUCUUGACAUCCCGGAGACCCUUAGGAAACUAGGGGUGCUUCCAUCUGGAAGAAUCUGGAGGACAGGUGCUGCAUGGCUGUCGUCAGCUCGUGUCGUGAGAUGUUGGGUUAAGUCCCGCAACGAGCGCAACCCUUGCCUUUAGUUGCCAGCAGUUCGGCUGGGCACUCUAAAGGGACUGCCGGUGUUAAACCGGAGGAAGGUGGGGAUGACGUCAAGUCCUCAUGGCCUUUAUGACCAGGGCUACACACGUACUACAAUGGCCGAUACAAAGGGCAGCGACACUGCGAGGUGAAGCCAAUCCCGUAAAAUCGGUCUCAGUCCGGAUUGGAGUCUGCAACUCGACUCCAUGAGGUUGGAAUCGCUAGUAAUCGUGGAUCAGCAUGCCACGGUGAAUACGUUCCCGGGCCUU
rnacentral:rRNA from 1 species